rnacentral:lncRNA from 12 species
AAGGCCUUCAGUGGCAGGGAAGGCGGGGUCUCCUCUGACUGUGAGCACCCACCCACCACCAGACAGGGCCUGCUUCAGGACUGGAAGGGUCCACGUCCACUGAUGGUUCUGCGCGGAGAAGGAAAGGGGAGUCAACCCCUCUGGGGCCUCUUCCAGCUCCAAGAUUCUGGAACGUGUCCCAGGUUGUCACAACAAAGGAUUCACAAAGGCUGUGCUGAAGCAUGCCCGGGGUACACCAGGAGCGCUUCGAGGAGGGGCAGAGCAACCAUCACUGCCCAUGUCAGAACCAAGACACCAUGCACCAAGAGGAACCUCAGGUGCAGUGCGGGAACAUGAGACAUCUCCUUCCUAUAGUGAGGAUGUCUGUGCAUCUGCGGCUGAUAGGGAAACAAGUGGGGAUGCUUUCCCCAAACUGCACGAUGGUCCCUUGGCUAAGAAGAACCCCAGACAGACCACAGAGGCAGCCAGGACACAGGCGGGGGCUUCCAGGCGAGCCUCCCAGACGAGCCUCCCAGAUGAGCCUCCCGAGUAAGCAGGAGCCAUAAGACGUACCCGCGCACAAGUGAUCCAACGAGAGGACAUCUGUCCGCGAACAAGCAGGAGUUAUCAGCAGGUGACAGCUGGAGCCGGUUUUACAGACAUCUCAUUAUAAAGGAAAACAUGGAUCCUGUUCAUCCUAUAAAGGAUCGCAUUCUUAUGCAUUGGUUAUAUAAAUUUAUAUAGUAAUACUAUUUAAUCUUUCAUGUCUGGGGGUGCCCAGGUGGCUCAGUGGGUGAUGCACCAGGUCAUGAUCUCAGGGUCCUGGGGUCGAGCCCCACAUUGGGCUCCCAGCUCAGCGCAGAGUUGGCUUCUCCCUCUCCCCCUCACCCUGUUCAUGCUUUCUCUCUCUCUCUCUGCCAAAUAAAUAAAUAAAAUAUUUUUCA